UACGUAGGGGGCAAGCGUUGUCCGGAAUCACUGGGCGUAAAGCAUGUAGGCGGCUUUCAAGUCAGGUGUGAAAGCCCACAGCUUAACUGUGGAAUUGCAUUUGAAACUGCUAGCUUGAAUAUCGAAGAGGAUGGUGGAAUUCCUGGUGUAGUGGUGAAAUACGUAGAUAUCAGGAGAACACCCGUGGCGAAGGCGGCCUCUG
rnacentral:rRNA from 1 species